rnacentral:rRNA from 1 species
AAGUGUCAUGUCAUCCUGAACACUUCUAUCGUAUGUGAGUUUGUAAGCUAAGCAGGAUCAGCCUUGGUUGGCACCUGGAUGGGAGACCACCACGGAAUUCAAGACCUCCACCUA